AUAAGUAAUAUGUGACGUCAUUGGAAGUUUUGCAGAUAUACGUGAAAAACUGUUCAGUAAUAACGUUUUCUACUGAUAUAUAUGCCACAAUGUUGUACACUGGUAAUUCAUUAAUUGAAACUAAUGCAACACCUAAGAGGUUGUACACUAAUACCACACCGACAAUGUUGUAUACUCAUACUAUGCCAAAAAUGCUAUACACAAACGCUAUACAUUUAAGAUUGUACAAUAAUAGAAAAUCAGAGAUGUCGCAAAAGGACAUCACUUCGACCUCAUUGAUUUUUAGUGGCUCACCGAAGUCAUCCAACAGUGACGCAUCACCAGCAAAAUAAUUUACAACGAGCUCAACUUUCACCAGAACCACGCCAGCAAGAUUGAAAACCUAUGCGACACCAGUGACAAUGUGUAACAAUUGAUUGGAUUUUGAUUGAGAUAUCAAUGAAUGUUUUGGGUUGGUUGGAAAUUCCAGAAAAGAUGUCUUUGCAAUCAUUAUUUGAUUAUCUCUAAUUGUUUAACAUUCUUUUGAGUAAGAACGACACGCCUCUCCAACUUUUGUGUAAGACGAAUUAUUAUAGACGAAUGACUCUCCGUAAAUGAAGCAUCUACAUGAUGCUUAAUGAAGAAUAUAUAGAUAUAUAUAACUUUAGUGGUUUCCCAUAACCGGGAUACAGGGAGAUUUAAACUUAGAACUAAGGAAAACACAACGGUGGCGUCAUGGCUUCAGAACCGUCUCUCUAAUGUAUCAGAUGAUUUAAACAAAUACGAUUUCAAAAGAAAUUAUACAUUUCCUGAUUCUCUAUUCGUUUCCAACCAACUUACAUUUACAAAUAACUGUGGAAUUUCUAUGGAUACAACUGAUAUCUUUGAAACAAAGAUGAGAGUGUCACCUUUAUGUUCGCUUUCCAAAACAUACCCAGGGUUGGAAAAAAAAAGCAUGAAAUAUUGAUCUUUGUUAUGAAAAAAUCGUUAGAAAGACAAACACUUGGUGAUGCAACCAAUGCGUAAUGACUUGGACUGAUUUACAAAGAUAAUGUAUUCCAGAUUUGAGAUUUGCACUUCACAUUCAGCAUUGUAUGGUAGAAUAUACAGAAACUAAAGUAAAUAAUAUUGUAAAGACAUGUAAUCUAAUGUUCUGUUGUUUCUGCCAAUUUGCUGUCUUACACUGAUAUGUACUACACCUAAUAGAAAAGUAUAGCUGACACCUAUAAGAGUAGAUAACGUGACUGCUUAGUAAGCAGUCACGUUACCUGCCUUUUGUGUAUGGAUGGAUCAAAAUAUCAAUGUGCAUUUGAGGAUAUCAAAGAGGUUGAUAAUCUAUAAGCGACAGCAUUGUUUGUUCCUAUUUGCUUGGAAUCAAAGUUAUUACACAUCCUGUGUACAACAGCCCAGUCAAAAGAUCUUUUCCGUAAUGAAUGGGUAAAAAUUGGAAAUAAAAUUUGUUUUCAAACAUGAUUAAUCUAAUCAAUGAUAAUAUAAAGACAAAAUGAAAUAUGCUAUUCCAUUAUGUUUGUCAUGAAAAACAAAAACAAUUAGCAAUUUUUUUGCUUCAUCUGGUUUUUAAAAAAUUACUGAUCACAACAGAAAUCGAUGUAUAUUUUUGGUGAGGGGUGAGGGAUAAGGAAGACAGCUGAAACAUAUUCAACAUAGAAUUUACUACAAACCAUCCCUAGGUCAGUCGCAGUUGAAUGAACCUAUGAUCAAAGGCACUUCAGCUUUGUAUAUCUAGGACUUACUCUUUAAAGCUGUAAGAUGUAAUUUGAAGCAAUUUAUCAACUAUUUCAAGCAUGUCGAGCGACCAUGUAGAUGUUCUUUCGUAAACCUUCGCUCACACACGGAGACAUAAUAGAAUAUCUCAUAUUUUAGUCCGGAGAGAAGACAGUGCCCAUGAUUCUUUAUAGGGGCAACCGAAACUGAAGAGAGGGAGGAAGGUAUCCUCAAAUCGCAAGUCUGGUCCAACUUCUUGCAACAGACUGGACUCCGAUAAAGGCAUGCAAGAUGACAGAAUUUGGUGUUUAACAGAGCGAUAGAUUAAGUUCAUCAUCCAGUUAGUUCAUGGAGAAAUUUGAACUGGGCUACAUAUAUCACAAGAUUGCAACCGUUUCUCGACACGAUCAGCCAAUGAUAAUUUGUUUGAUUAAAACAACACAUUCGCGUAGUCGCCAAUACUUUCCUCGAGUGGUCCAUCAUUACAAUAUGUUUUACAACUGUCUACAGCACAAUUCAGCUGCAGCCUUGUCACUGCAGCUUUUACAGACAAAGAUUCAGCGUAACACUGUUGUCAGUCUUACUAUAAAAAAAAAGUAAAAUUUCCAUUAAAUCAUGAGAUGAUCUUAGUGAGUCAUUCGCAGAUUCAGUGAUUCAUGCGGUGAAAAUACAUACUAGGUUAUAAUAAAUUUAUUUCUCUGA